AUUGAACGCUGGCGGCAGGCCUAACACAUGCAAGUCGAGCGAGCGGCGGACGGGUGAGUAAUGUAUGGGGACUGCCCGAUCGAGGGGGAUAACAACUGGAAACGGUAGCUACUACCGCAUACUAUCGGAUAACCCAUAUGGGAUUAGCUAGUAGGUGAGGGAAUGGCUCACCUAGGCGACGAUCCCUAGCUGGUCUGCGAGGAUGAUCAGCCACACUGGGACUGAGACCCGGCCCAGAUGCCUACGGAGGCAGCAGUUGGGAAUAGUGCACAAGGGGCUCAAGCCUGAUGCAGCCAUGCCACGUGUAUGAAGAAGGCCCUAGGGUUGUAAAGUACUUUCAGUCGGGAGGCGUUACCGACAGAAGAAGCACCGGCUAACUCCGUGCCAGCAGCCGCGGUAAUAC
rnacentral:rRNA from 1 species